AGAGUGUGGUCGUGGCUCAGGAUUAACGCUGGCGGCAUGCCUAAUACAUGCAAGUCGAACGGAAAAUAUAGAAGUGCUUGCACAUUUAUAUUUUUAGUGGCGAACGGGUGAGUAAUAUAUAGAUAACCUACCUUCCAGUUGGGGAUAACAGAGGGAAACUUCUGCUAAUACCGAAUAUGAUAAAGAAACACAAGUAAUUUUAUUGAAAGGGGCUCCAAAGCCCCGCUAGAAGAGGGGUCUAUAUCGCAUUAGCUAGUUGGUAAGAUAACAGCCUACCAAGGCGAUGAUGCGUAGCUGUACUGAGAGGUAGAACAGCCACAUUGGGACUGAGAUACGGCCCAAACUCCUACGGGAGGCAGCAGUAGGGAAUUUUCGGCAAUGGGGGGAACCCUGACCGAGCAAUGCCGCGUGAUUGAAGACGGUCUUCGGACUGUAAAGAUCUGUUAUUAGGGAAGAAUUUUUACUUUAGGAAAUGGAAGUAAAUUGACGGUGCCUAAUGAGGAAGCCCCGGCUAACUAUGUGCCAGCAGCCGCGGUAAUACAUAGGGGGCAAGCGUUAUCCGGAAUUAUUGGGCGUAAAGGGUACGUAGGCGGGCUUGCAAGUCUGAUUUGAAAGCACAUGGCUUAACCAUGUGAGGUAAUUAGAAACUACGAGUCUAGAGAGUGGUAGAGGUAAAUGGAAUUCCAAGUGGAGCGGUGAAAUGCGUAGAGAUUUGGAGGAACACCAGUGGCGAAGGCGGUUUACUGGGCCACAUCUGACGCUGAUGUACGAAAGCGUGGGGAGCAAACAGGAUUAGAUACCCUGGUAGUCCACGCCGUAAACGGAUGAGUGCUGAGUAUCGGGGGAUUUCGGUGCUUUAGCUAACGCAGUAAGCACUCCGCCUUGGGGAGUACGGUCGCAAGACUGAAACUCAAAGGGAAAUUGACGGGGACUCGCUCAAGCGGGUGGAGCAUCCUGUUUAAUUCGAUGCAACGCGAAGAACCUUACCAGGUCUUGACAGUGUAAAGAAUACUUAAGAGAUUAAGGGCUACGAAUUAAGCUUGCUUGAUUUACUUUAUAAACAGGUGGUGCAUGGUUGUCGUCAGCUCGUGUCGUGAGAUGUUGGGUUAAGUCCCGCAACGAGCGCAACCCUUAUCACUAGUUGCCAUCAUUCAGUUGGGCACUCUAGUGAGACUGCCGGUGACAAAUCGGAUGAAGGUGGGGAGGACGUCAAAUCAUCAUGCCCCUUAUGCCCUGGGCUACACGCGUGCUACAAUGGCUAAUACAAAGAGUCGCAAAACCGUGAGGUAGAGCUAAUCUCAUAAAGUUAGUCUCAGUUCGGAUUGUAGUCUGCAACUCGACUACAUGAAGUCGGAAUCGCUAGUAAUCGUAAAUCAGAAUGUUACGGUGAAUACGUUCUCGAGUCUUGCACACACCGCCCGUCA
rnacentral:rRNA from 1 species